AGGGCGCGAGCGUUGUCCGGAUUUAUUGGGCGUAAAGAGCUCGUAGGCGGCUUGUCGCGUCAACUGUGAAAACCCGUGGCUCAACCAUGUGGUCUGCAGUCGAUACGGGCAGGCUAGAAUUCGGUAGGGGAGACUGGAAUUCCUGGUGUAGCGGUGAAAUGCGCAGAUAUCAGGAGGAACACCGGUGGCGAAGGCGGGUCUCUGGGCCGAUAUUGACGCUGAGGAGCGAAAGCGUGGGGAGCGAACAGG
rnacentral:rRNA from 1 species